AAAAUGACUCUCGGCAACGGAUAUCUCGGCUCUCGUAUCGAUGAAGAACGUAGCGAAAUGCGAUACUUGGUGUGAAUUGCAGAAUCCCGUGAACCAUCGAGUCUUUGAACGCAAGUUGCGCCCGAAGUCUUCUGGCUAAGGGCACGCCUGCCUGGGCGUCACACAU
rnacentral:rRNA from 1 species